rnacentral:rRNA from 1 species
UACGAAGGGUGCAAGCGGUACUCGGAAUUACUGGGCGUAAAGCGUGCGUAGGUGGUUUGUUAAGUCUGAUGUGAAAGCCCUGGGCUCAACCUGGGAAUUGCAUUGGAUACUGGCAGGCUAGAGUGCGGUAGAGGAUGGCGGAAUUCCCGGUGUAGCAGUGAAAUGCGUAGAGAUCGGGAGGAACAUCUGUGGCGAAGGCGGCCAUCUGGACCAGCACUGACACUGAGGCACGAAAGCGUGGGGAGCAAACAGG